GGUCAUGAAUUCCAGCGACAAGCCCCGGCUUGCUGGGUGGCAACCCUCCUGCGUGUGGGGUGCCCCGGGUGACGACCUGGUCCUGCGCGAGCGUCCUGCUCGUGCCCGACAACGACGCAGC
rfam:Cellulomonas sp. Root930 contig_1, whole genome shotgun sequence.